UACGUAGGGUGCAAGCGUUGUCCGGAAUUAUUGGGCGUAAAGAGCUCGUAGGCGGCUCGUCGCGUCGACCGUGAAAACCCGCGGCUUAACUGCGGGCUUGCGGUUGAUACGGGCGGGCUAGAGUUCGGUAGGGGACCUGGAACUUCCGGUGGAGCGGUGAAAUGCGUUGAGAUCGGAAGGAACGCCCGUGGCGAAAGCGAGGUCCUGGACGUCUACUGACGCUGAGACGCGAAAGCUAGGGGAGCAAACGGGG
rnacentral:rRNA from 1 species